rnacentral:rRNA from 1 species
CGCUGGCGGCGUGCCUAAUACAUGCAAGUCGAACGGUCUUUCUAUGGAAGCUUGCUUCCACUGAGAAGAUAGUGGCGAACGGGUGAGUAACACGUGGGUAACCUGCCCAUAAGAGGGGGAUAACAUCCGGAAACGGGUGCUAAUACCGCAUAGUUUUCUUGAUCACAUGAUUGAGAAGGAAAGACGGCCUUUGUGCUGUCGCUUAUGGAUGGACCCGCGGCGUAUUAGUUAGUUGGUGAGGUAACGGCUCACCAAGACGAUGAUACGUAGCCGACCUGAGAGGGUGAUCGGCCACAUUGGGACUGAGACACGGCCCAAACUCCUACGGGAGGCAGCAGUAGGGAAUCUUCCGCAAUGGACGAAAGUCUGACGGAGCAACGCCGCGUGAGUGAAGAAAGGUUUUCGGAUCGUAAAACUCUGUUGUCAGAGAAGAACAAGUUGGAGAGUAACUGCUCCAGCCUUGACGGUAUCUGACCAGAAAGCCACGGCUAACUACGUGCCAGCAGCGGC